GUGGAUAGUCUAUAGAAAGAGAGGGAUUUCUACUUUUCUAAGUUGAGAGACAUUGAGAUUCUCUGCCAGACUCCUAAAAUUGAAGACUCGCCCAUUGUUGCAGCUAUCAAAAGGAUCUUAUAUGCUACAGAUGAAGAUGAUGGGGCAGAGGCCUUGAGUCCAAUUGAAGAAAAAACAAUUUUAGAAACCCAGAACAGGAAAAAACAUCUUGAACAUCGAUGUCGAUGCUGCUGGAAGUACAACUUACUAAAGAACAACUUACUAAGGCAAAGGCUCUCUGAUGCUUCUGAUGUCCACUGCAGUGGGUCACCUCUUUUGAGUUACCGAUCAGAGCAACAACUAAGUAUAAGCCCUUUAAUGAUCUGCUUGACAUUACAGUUUUGUCAAGUUCCCUUGCCAUAUCAAUAUCUCUAGUUGUGUCUAUUGUUUCAAUUGUAAUCCAACCAGUAGCGUUCAGAACAGGGACAUAAUAUAGUCAUCAGUUGCACUUGUUGGCAAUGUGUGUUCAUAUGCGUGAGUCAAAUAUUAUUGACUUUAUCCUUUAUUUUUACAUUUUUUUUUUGUUAAAUUUUAAAUGACAGAGAUGUGGAUGAA